rnacentral:siRNA from 1 species
CCUCUGGUGGAAACGGAGGGU